AUAGCUUUUCACCUUUUGGCUAAGAUUAAGUGUAAUCAUCUGUUCUUUCUGUUUAAAAUCUGAUACAUCCUCUAUCUGAGGACAAUAUAUUAAUGGAUUUUUGGAGCAGGGAGAUGGAAUAGGAGCAUGCUCCAUCCAAAAAAAAAAAAAGAUUUUAUAUGCAUAUGCAUUACUUAUGAACACAG